CAUUUAGCACCCCUUCCCCCACCCCCAAUCCCAUGAUGCUCUGAUAACGCCCACAUGCACCCCUGAUGCCACCAUGCACCUGCAUCCAACCAUUCCAAGCACUCGUAUUAGAACGCGACGUGGUUGCUAAUCUGGCACCAGACAUGCAAGAUACGUUCUUUAAAUCGUCUUGGGCUGUACGUUAGCUUCACUGGGGACUAAAUUGUCUUUGGUGUUAUCAAAAAUAUGCCAAUGUGCCAAUCGCAGGGCACAUAUAAAUACACAUUCGCACACACAUUCACACCUACGGGCAGUUUAGAGUCUUCAAUCAACCUACCAUGCAUUGUUUGUGGGAUGUGGGAGGAAACCGGAGUGCCCGGAGAAAACCCACGCAGGCACAGAGAGAACAUGCAAACUCCACACAGGCGGGGCCGGGAUUUGAACCCCGGUCCUCAGAACUGUGAGGCAGACACGGCUUGGACUUGUUCCACCUGGCAGAAGGCUUUUACGCUAGCUGACUGAACGGAAGCGCAUCACUUCCUGCGUCACUUCCUGUCUUGACUUCCUACAACACUGAGCCUCUUCGCUCCCCAACAUUCAGCAUGAAGUCACAACAUCGCCUCAUUAUCUUGGUGGUCUGGAUGACGGGGGUCCGGCUGAGCGAAGACAUGAGGGUCUUCCAAACCCCCCGCGACAUUUUCAGGAGAGCGGACGACGUCAUACUGAGUUUCACGCACAUGCUCGCCAACCACGACACUUUUCUCAACAUCACUACAAAACCAUAACAGCUGCAGUUAUUCCAGUACUCAAGAAACCUUGUGCCGAUCCCAACAACUUCAACAAUAAAAUACAAAAAAAUAUAAAAAACACUUUAUAUAAUUCAUUGUUUUGACAGAUUUUAUUUUUAAAAAAAAUAAUCUGUAUAGAAUGUGCCAUAUGUUUAGGUUAUACUACAUUUUAUCAGUGAAAUUAAUAUUUUUAUUUUUUUCUUUUUCAAACAACAACAAAAAAAUUAA